rnacentral:misc_RNA from 1 species
UUUAGAGGAAGGAGAAGUCGUAACAAGGUUUCCGUAGGUGAACCUGCGGAAGGAUCAUUGUCGAAUCCUGCAAAGCAGACGACCGCGAACUCGUGUAACCGCCGGGCGCCGGGGGAGGGGCGGCGAGGACGAACCCUCCCCUCCUUCCCCGUCGCUCCCCGUGCGCCCGUGCGCGCGGACGAACAACUCAACCCCGGCGCGGAAAGCGCCAAGGAAAACUCAAGAUGACCGCCCGGCCCCCCUGCCAGCCCCGUUCGCGGAGCGCUGGAGGGGACGCUGUGGCGCAUGUCGUGAAACCAAAACGACUCUCGGCAACGGAUAUCUCGGCUCUCGCAUCGAUGAAGAACGUAGCGAAAUGCGAUACUUGGUGUGAAUUGCAGAAUCCCGCGAACCAUCGAGUCUUUGAACGCAAGUUGCGCCCGAAGCCAUCAGGCCGAGGGCACGUCUGCCUGGGCGUCACGCAUCGCGUCGCCACCCCCAACCCGCGGGGCGGCGGAGAGUGGCCUCCCGUGCCCCUGGGCGCGGCCGGCCUAAAUGCGAGUCCUCGGCGAGGGACGUCACGGCUAGUGGUGGUUGAAUCGCUCAACUCGAGUCCUUGUCGUGCCGUCGCACCCCGUCGUCAGUCCGGCUCCGUCGACCCUCAAGCUCGCGCCCCGGCUCGAGCCUCGACCGCGACCCCAGGUCAGGCGGGAUUACCC